AAUAGAUACCCAGGUAGUCCACGCCGUAAACGGUGGGCACUAGGUGUGGGCGGCAUUCCACGUCGUCCGUGCCGUAGCUAACGCAUUAAGUGCCCCGCCUGGGGAGUACGGCCGCAAGGCUAAAACUCAAAGGAGUUGACGGGGGCCCGCACAAGCGGCGGAGCAUGUGGCUUAAUUCGACGCAACGCGAAGAACCUUACCAAGGCUUGACAUACACCGGAAACAUCCAGAGAUGGGUGCCCCCUUGUGGUCGGUGUACAGGUGGUGCAUGGCUGUCGUCAGCUCGUGUCGUGAGAUGUUGGGUUAAGUCCCGCAACGAGCGCAACCCUUGUCCCGUGUUGCCAGCAGGCCUUUGUGGUGCUGGGGACUCACGGGAGACCGCCGGGGUCAACUCGGGGGAAGGUGGGGACGACGUCAAGUCAUCAUGCCCCUUAUGUCUUGGGCUGCACACGUGCUACAAUGGCCGGUACAAAGAGCUGCGAUGCCGUGAGGCGGAGCGAAUCUCAAAAAGCCGGUCUCAGUUCGGAUUGGGGU
rnacentral:rRNA from 1 species